UCCUACACUGGCAGCGUUUAUCGUAUGCGGUCCCUUGCAGUUUCUGGUUUCUGAUUCUGGUCACCGAAGAACGUAGCAAGAAGUACUCUUGACCCAGGGUCGCGCGGUUAAUAAGAUAUGCCAAUACCAGUUGGGCAUCUUUUUGAUUCUGACAAUGUUGUACACAUAUUUAUUCUUUGUAGGACUCAUGGUACAGUUUAACGAGAAUAGUUGAAUGGUACGGCGAUCACCAAGAUGAAAUGAUACCUGUUGCUGGCCCAGGACACUGGAACGACCCUGACCAGCUGCUGAUUGGAGAUUUCAGUCUAAGCUAUGAGCAAUCCAAGUCACAGUUUGCACUCUGGGCAAUUAUGGCUGCUGUAAGUUUAAUGUUUUUGUUUUGCUUUUGUUUUUGGAACUGGCUGGGAAAAUUUAGAAUUUGAUCAUCAUUUAAAUUUGAAUUGAAUGUGAUAUUAUUUUGGCGUGUCGCGUUAAAUCCAGGAAUUAAGUUCGACAAAAGCACGGUAGAAGCGCGGCACCGAAUAAAACUUUUGAAUUAAGUUCGGCAAGCAAUUAGUUCGACAAGCUCUGCCAUGCUACACGACUUUGGCACGGCAGCGGUUCAAACGUCGUGCUCCUGUCGCGCCAAACAAAAUUCAGUAAUUACAGGGUUCGUACAGGUCAUGGAAAACCUGGAAAGUCAUGGAAUUUAAGAAUUUCAUUUUCCAGGCCUGGAAAGUCAUGGAAUUUAAUUGUCGGUCCUUGAAAGUCGUGAAAAAUUAAAGUUUUGUUUGAUAGUUUAGUUACUGGAGAUGACAAGGCAAGGGAAAUGUAAGAUGAGUUGAGCAGGUUUCUGAAGUACCAAAACAAAGCAAGUGAAAACUGCUCUAAGAAUGACUAUAAGUCAAUGCAUGGUUUUAAAAUGAGUGUCCAAAGUCAUUUGAAAAAAAAAAAAA